AGCAGUAGCCGCGGUAAUACAGAGGGUGCGAGCGUUAAUCGGAUUUACUGGGCGUAAAGCGUGCGUAGGCGGCUAAUUGAGUCGGAUGUGAAAUCCCCGAGCUUAACUUGGGAAUUGCAUUCGAUACUGGGAAGCUAGAGUAUGGGAGAGGAUGGUAGAAUUCCAGGUGUAGCGGUGAAAUGCGUAGAGAUCUGGAGGAAUACCGAUGGCAAAGGCAGCCAUCUGGCCUAAUACUGACGCUGAGGUACGAAAGCAUGGGGAGCAAACAGGAUUAGAUACCCCCGUAGUCCCUGUCUCUUAUAC
rnacentral:rRNA from 1 species